UACAGAGGUCCCAAGCGUUGUUCGGAUUCAUUGGGCGUAAAGGGUGCGUAGGCGGCGGGGAAAGUCUGAUGUGAAAUCCUGGGGCUCAACCCUGGAACUGCAUUGGAUACUUCCUUGCUAGAGUACUGGAGAGGAAACUGGAAUUUACGGUGUAGCGGUGAAAUGCGUAGAUAUCGUAAGGAAGACCAGUGGCGAAGGCGGGUCUCUGGACAGUUCCUGACGCUGAGGCACGAAGGCCAGGGGAGCAAACGGG
rnacentral:rRNA from 1 species